rnacentral:rRNA from 1 species
UACGAAGGGGGCUAUCGUUGUUCGGAAUCACUGGGCGUAAAGGGCGCGUAGGCGGCUUUAUAAGUCAGACGUGAAAUCCCUCAGCUUAACUGGGGAACUGCGUCUGAUACUGGAUGGCUUGGAUUCGGGAGAGGGAUGCGGAAUUCCAGGUGUAGCGGUGAAAUGCGUAGAUAUCUGGAGGAACACCGGUGGCGAAGGCGGCAUCCUGGACCGAUAUUGACGCUGAGGAGCGAAAGCCAGGGGAGCAAACGGG